UCUGCUGGUGCUGGAAUAGCUCUGUCUGCGCACCGGCGCGGGCGGCUCGCUCUUGCGGGCGGAAUCCUGGUUCAGCGGGGUCUCCCUGGAGCCGGCGGCCGCGUCCGCGCCGCUGCUGCCCGGCUCGCUGGCGGCGGGGUCGGGGGCUGCCGGAGCUGACUCCAUGUUUUUUCCCAAUGUAGAGAUCGCUGGAGAUGGCGAGCUCCGAGACUCCCUCUAUCUUCUGUUUUCAGAGCAACUCUAUGGUACCAAAAAAAAAAAAAAAAAAAAAAAAGAAGGCGACCGGCGAGAGCAGGAGGGAGAGCAGGCGGCGGCGGGCGAGCGAGAGCGCGAGGGAGCGCGCGGAGUGUGUCUGGGUGGACGUGUGUGUGCGCCCGAGAGGGGACGGGAGGCGGGUCUGGCCACAGGCAGCGCUAGCGAGAGCUUCUCCAGCCGGCCCCCACACCCACAUUCCCCACCCUCCAGACCCCAGACCGAGAGCCGCACACUGGCUGCCAAUUUUGGGAGGUGGGGAAAAAAGGGGAGGAGGGCAGAGCCUCCCGCACCCCAAUCUCCCCCUCUUCCCUGCUCAAGGACGGAAAAUAAAAUCAGUGAGCUGAUUCUGUGCCUACUUCUGAGACUCUCUCGGGAACAGAUCUCGGCCCCAUCCGCAACCAGCCUGGGAUGAGGCAAAUCUGGUUGUCCACGUUGGGAAAUCGCAGAUUUUGUGAGUCCAGAAUCGCCGUGGACAGCCAGCCGGUUUAUGAUGUGAUUGAAAAAGGUCGCUUUCUGCUUCUUUGCUGUUUCUCCGCAAGUAUCUAGAAACCAUUUGGCAGGGCACUUUCUUCAAACUUUGGCCUGUUUGGACGAUGACUAUCUUAGCUGAAUGGGAUAUGCCACGCUGCAUCUAGCUCAGGCGUGGUUGCUAAUGGAGGACCCUCCCUCGCUGCCAAUCCCGAUGCUGACACUUUUCUCCUGCUCUAAGAGACAAGACAAGUGACUUGCUCAAGGCUACCCAAUUAAUCAGUGGCACCAUACAAUGGCUCCAGACUUCCUGAUUCAAGACCCAGCUCUGCCACAUACUAACAGUGUGAUGGAAGGGAAGUUGUUAGUACUAACCAUUUCUAUAUCCACAUGUCCUCAUCUAUAGAUGAGGUUUGUGGGGGGAGGGAGUGGGAGGAAAAGUUACAUGAGACGAUCUUUCCAAAACAUUUGGCA